rnacentral:rRNA from 1 species
AGAGUUUGAUCAUGGCUCAGGACGAACGCUGGCGGCGUGCCUAAUACAUGCAAGUCGAGCGAGCUGAAUUCAAAGAUUCCUUCGGGAUGAUUUGUUGGACGCUAGCGGCGGAUGGGUGAGUAACACGUGGGCAAUCUGCCCUAAAGACUGGGAUACCACUUGGAAACAGGUGCUAAUACCGGAUAACAACAUGAAUCGCAUGAUUCAAGUUUGAAAGGCGGCGUAAGCUGUCACUUUAGGAUGAGCCCGCGGCGCAUUAGCUAGUUGGUGGGGUAAAGGCCUACCAAGGCAAUGAUGCGUAGCCGAGUUGAGAGACUGAUCGGCCACAUUGGGACUGAGACACGGCCCAAACUCCUACGGGAGGCAGCAGUAGGGAAUCCUCCACAAUGGACGCAAGUCUGAUGGAGCAACGCCGCGUGAGUGAAGAAGGUUUUCGGAUCGUAAAGCUCUGUUGUUGGUGAAGAAGGAUAGGGGCAGUAACUGGUCUUUAUUUGACGGUAAUCAACCAGAAAGUCACGGCUAACUACGUGCCAGCAGCCGCGGUAAUACGUAGGUGGCAAGCGUUGUCCGGAUUUAUUGGGCGUAAAGCGAGCGCAGGCGGAAUGAUAAGUCUGAUGUGAAAGCCCACGGCUCAACCGUGGAACUGCAUCGGAAACUGUCAUUCUUGAGUGCAGAAGAGGAGAGUGGAACUCCAUGUGUAGCGGUGGAAUGCGUAGAUAUAUGGAAGAACACCAGUGGCGAAGGCGGCUCUCUGGUCUGCAACUGACGCUGACGCUCGAAAGCAUGGGUAGCGAACAGGAUUAGAUACCCUGGUAGUCCAUGCCGUAAACGAUGAGCGCUAGGUGUUGGGGACUUUCCGGUCCUCAGUGCCGCAGCAAACGCAUUAAGCGCUCCGCCUGGGGAGUACGACCGCAAGGUUGAACUCAAAGGAAUUGACGGGGGCCCGCACAAGCGGUGAGCAUGUGGUUUAAUUCGAAGCAACGCGAAGAACCUUACCAGGUCUUGACAUCCUGGUGACAUUCUAGAAGAAAGAACUUUCCCUUCGGGGACGCAAUGAACAGGUGGGUGCAUGCUGUUCGUCCGCCUCGUGUUCUGAGAUUGUUGGUAGUCCCGCCACCAAGCGCCACCAUUUCCCUUAGUUGGCCACUCAUAGUUGCACAGCCUCUUAGAGGAACCUGGCGGUCAAAACCGAGAGGUGGGAUGAACACAGUCACUACUGCCCCUUAUGAUACCUGGAGCUACAUACCU